rnacentral:lncRNA from 1 species
AUAUAUAUAUAUAAUUUAGAUAUUCCCACCCACCAUGAUUAGUUUCUUGUUUCAUUGAGGUGAUGAUGAAGGGAUGGAAGCUGUUCUCGGCUUGUUUAUCUUACAUGCUGUUUUCUAAAAGAUCCAGUGGCAAGAAUCAUGUGUGUUGUUGCUAUGAGAAAGAACACUGCUGUUUAGUUCGUCUUGAGCAUCUUCAAGCUCAAACUUUCACCUUUUCUUUUUCGAGAAAAUUAACAUGAUUUUGAGGGUGUACCUUAUUUUUCUGUUCAAGACAUGGGGUUUAAACUUGGCUAAUUUUACUGUGUAGAUCUCCUGCAUGUUGAUAUGAGC